UACAGAGGUCUCGAGCGUUAGGCGGAAUCACUGGGCUUAAAGCGUGUGUAGGCGGCGGGCUAAGUACCUUGUGAAAUCCCACGGCUUAACUGUGGAACUGCUGGGUAUACUGGUUCGCUUGAGCGGUCUAGGGGCGAGCGGAACAAAUGGUGGAGCGGUGAAAUGCGUAGAUAUCAUUUGGAACGCCAACGGUGAAAACAGCUCGCUGGGGACCUGCUGACGCUGAGACCCGAAAGCCAGGGGAGCGAACGGG
rnacentral:rRNA from 1 species